CAGUAGCCACGGUAAAACAGAGGGUGCGAGCGUUAAUCGGAUUUACUGGGCGUAAAGCGUGCGUAGGCGGCUUCUUAAGUUGGAUGUGAAAUCCCUGAGCUUAACUUAGGAAUUGCAUUCGAUACUGGGAAGCUAGAGUAUGGGAGAGGAUGGUAGAAUUCCAGGUGUAGCGGUGAAAUGCGUAGAGAUCUGGAGGAAUACCGAUGGCGAAGGCAGCCAUCUGGCCUAAUACUGACGCUGAGGUACGAAAGCAUGGGGAGCAAACAGGAUUAGAUACCCCCGUAGUCCCUGUCUCUUAUAC
rnacentral:rRNA from 1 species